CAGGGAUUGCCCUAGUAACGGCGAGUGAAGCGGCAACAGCUCAAAUUUGAAAUCUGGCUUCGGCCCGAGUUGUAAUUUGCAGAGGAUGCUUUUGGUGCGGUGCCUUCCGAGUUCCCUGGAACGGGACGCCACAGAGGGUGAGAGCCCCGUAUGGUCGGACACCAAUCCUGUGUAAAGCUCCUUCGACGAGUCGAGUAGUUUGGGAAUGCUGCUCUAAAUGGGAGGUAAAUCUCUUCUAAAGCUAAAUACCGGCCAGAGACCGAUAGCGCACAAGUAGAGUGAUCGAAAGAUGAAAAGCACCUUGAAAAGGGGGUUAAACAGUACGUGAAAUUGUUGAAAGGGAAGCACUUGUGACCAGACUUGGGCCGGGCGGCUCAUCAGGGGUUCUCCCCUGUGCAUUCCGCCCGGUACAGGCCAGCAUCGGUUCUUACCGGGGGAUAAGAACGGCAGGAACGUGGCUCCCUCUCGGGGGAGUGUUAUAGCCUGCCGUACGAUACCC
rnacentral:rRNA from 1 species